rnacentral:rRNA from 1 species
GCCAUGCAUGUCUCAGUGCAGCCAAAUUAAGGUGAAACCGCGAAUGGCUCAUUAAANCNNUUAUGGUUCCUUAGAUCGUACCACAUUACUUGGAUAACUGUGGUAAUUCUAGAGCUAAUACAUGCAAACAGAGUCCCGACCAGAAAUGGAAGGGACGCUUUUAUUAGAUCAAAACCAAUCGGUCGGCUUGUCCGGUCCGUUUGCCUUGGUGACUCUGAAUAACUUUGGGCUGAUCGCACGGUCCUGGAACCGGCGACGCAUCUUUCAAAUGUCUGCCUUAUCAACUGUCGAUGGUAGGUUCUGCGCCUACCAUGGUUGUAACGGGUAACGGGGAAUCAGGGUUCGAUUCCGGAGAGGGAGCCUGAGAAACGGCUACCACAUCCAAGGAAGGCAGCAGGCGCGCAAAUUACCCACUCCCGGCACGGGGAGGUAGUGACGAAAAAUAACGAUACGGGACUCAUCCGAGGCCCCGUAAUCGGAAUGAGUACACUUUAAAUCCUUUAACGAGUAUCCAUUGGAGGGCAAGUCUGGUGCCAGCAGCCGCGGUAAUUCCAGCUCCAAUAGCGUAUAUUAAAGUUGUUGCGGUUAAAAAGCUCGUAGUUGGACUUGUGUCCCACGCUGUCGGUUCAUCGCUCGUCGGUGUCUAACUGGCAUGGUUCGUGGGACGUCCUGCCGGUGGUGGCGAGUCGAAAGCGUGCUCCCGUCGCGGUCUCCGUGUUCGGUUCUUGCGCGCCUAGACGGACCCCGAUCAAAUCCUACCGCGGUGCUCUUCGCCGAGUGUCGAGGUGGGCCGGCACGUUUACUUUGAACAAAUUAGAGUGCUUAAAGCAGGCCUUUUGCGCCUGAAUACUGUGUGCAUGGAAUAAUGGAAUAGGACCUCGGUUCUAUUUUGUUGGUUUUCGGAACCCGAGGUAAUGAUUAAUAGGGACAGGCGGGGGCAUUCGUAUUGCGACGUUAGAGGUGAAAUUCUUGGAUCGUCGCAAGACGGACCGAAGCGAAAGCAUUUGCCAAGUAUGUUUUCAUUAAUCAAGAACGAAAGUUAGAGGUUCGAAGGCGAUCAGAUACCGCCCUAGUUCUAACCAUAAACGAUGCCAGCUAGCGAUCCGCCGAAGUUCCUCCGAUGACUCGGCGGGCAGCUCCCGGGAAACCAAAGCUUUUGGGUUCCGGGGGAAGUAUGGUUGCAAAGCUGAAACUUAAAGGAAUUGACGGAAGGGCACCACCAGGAGUGGAGCCUGCGGCUUAAUUUGACUCAACACGGGAAACCUCACCAGGCCCGGACACCGGAAGGAUUGACAGAUUGAGAGCUCUUUCUUGAUUCGGUGGGUGGUGGUGCAUGGCCGUCUUAGUGGUGAGCGAUGCGGAC